UCUUAAAAGCUCUGUAAAGCAAGAAGAAAAGCACUGCUGUUUAGGGAUUAAUUGUUGGUUGAAGGUGCAAAUUAGAUAUGAAUAUAGACAUCUCUAGCACAACUAUCUGAAAAUAUAAUUCAUCUAGACACAAUAAAUGAACAUGACAAUGAAAAAGGCAUCUAUGCAAUUAACACAGGAUAGAAAUGCACAAAAGAUAUUACUGUAUUUUGUACUUUACACAUGUGUUUUCCUUGACAGUGAGCGGAACACCUGUGCUUACUUGGAUAUCCCACUAUGGCAAUCACAGUAGCAUGCAGUGGAUGUGCAAUCAUUUUUUAGCUGAAUGGGAUUAACCUGAGACCUAAGAAAACCACCAACUUGGCAACUGAGUCCUGACUAGCCAGGGGUUAAUGCUCUAAGGGGAAAUGGAAAUAAUAAAAAAUGAAAUUCUAAGAUUCUCAAAUGCAUUUAAGUGCUCUUAUGAAAAAUAACAACCAAACAUGCUAAUUCUCAAGUUGCUGAUGUUAUAUACUAAAGCUAACUUUACAUGUCACAAUGAAUGCAACAAAAGACAGAUUCUACCUUGUUGGAGAGACACUAGAUUGAUAGCCACACUCACAGGUGUAUUUAUUUCUUCUGGAUACAGAGCUUGGAAGCUGCACAUGACAUUUACUACCUUUUUAUAGGAUACUGCAUCAAACAUUGCCUGUAUUUCAGUAGGAGUUUCUGCUGGUUUAAAAAUGGAGUGGGAUGAAUUCAGUGAAUUUCUUGUGAUUGCUUCAAAACAUACAUCCAAAAACUGGUCAUCCUAAG